AUUGAGCGCUGGCGGCAUGCCCUACACAUGCAAGUCGAACGGCAGCACGGGUGCUUGCACCUGGUGGCGAGUGGCGAACGGGUGAGUAAUACAUCGGAACGUACCUUAUCGUGGGGGAUAACGCAGCGAAAGCUGUGCUAAUACCGCAUACGCCCUGAGGGGGAACGCGGGGGAGCGAAAGACCUCGCGCGAUUAGAGCGGCCGAUGCCUGAUUAGCUUGUUGGUGGGGUAAAAGCCCACCAAGGCGACGAUCAGUAGCUGGUCUGAGAGGACGAUCAGCCACACUGGGACUGAGACACGGCCCAGACUCCUACGGGAGGCAGCAGUGGGGAAUUUUGGACAAUGGGGGCAACCCUGAUCCAGCAAUGCCGCGUGAGUGAAGAAGGCCUUCGGGUUGUAAAGCUCUUUUGUCAGGGAAGAAACACCGGCUCUAACACAGUCCGGGAAUGACGGUACCUGAAGAAUAAGCACCGGCUAACUACGUGCCAGCCGCCGCAGUAA
rnacentral:rRNA from 1 species